rnacentral:rRNA from 1 species
AAUUUUGGACAAUGGGGGAAACCCUGAUCCAGCCAUCCCGCGGGUAUGAUGAAGGCCGUCGGGGUGUACAGUACCUUUGGCAGAGAAGAAAAGGUAUCCCCUACUACGGGAUACCGCUGACGGUACCUGCGGAAUAAGCACCGGCGAACUACGUGCCAGCAGCCGCGGUAAUACGUAGGGUGCAAGCGGUAAUCGGAAGUACUGGGCGUAAAGCGUGUGUAGGCGGUUCGGAAAGAAAGAUGUGAAAUCCCAGGGCUCAACCUUGGAACUGCAUUUUUAACUGCCGAGCUGGAGUAUGUCAGAGGGGGGUAGGAGUCCACGUGUAGCAGUGAAAUGCGUAGAUAUGUGGAGGAAUACCGAUGGCGAAGGCAGCCCCCUGGGAUAAUACUGACGCUCAGACACGAAAGCGUGGGUAGCGAACAGG